rnacentral:rRNA from 1 species
UGUUGGCGGGGUAACGGCCCACCAAGGCGACGAUCAGUAGGGGUUCUGAGAGGAAGGUCCCCCACAUUGGAACUGAGACACGGUCCAAACUCCUACGGGAGGCAGCAGUGAGGAAUAUUGGUCAAUGGACGAGAGUCUGAACCAGCCAAGUAGCGUGCAGGAUGACGGCCCUAUGGGUUGUAAACUGCUUUUAUAAGGGAAUAAAGUGAGUCUCGUGAGGCUUUUUGCAUGUACCUUAUGAAUAAGGACCGGCUAAUUCCGUGCCAGCAGCCGCGGUAAUACGGAAGGUCCGGGCGUUAUCCGGAUUUAUUGGGUUUAAAGGGAGCGUAGGCCGGAGAUUAAGCGUGUUGUGAAAUGUAGACGCUCAACGUCUGCACUGCAGCGCGAACUGGUUUCCUUGAGUACGCACAAAGUGGGCGGAAUUCGUGGUGUAGCGGUGAAAUGCUUAGAUAUCACGAAGAACUCCGAUUGCGAAGGCAGCUCACUGGAGCGCAACUGACGCUGAAGCUCGAAAGUGCGGGUAUCGAACAGGAUUAGAUACCCUGGUAGUCCGCACGGUAAACGAUGGAUGCCCGCUGUUGGUCUGAAUAGGUCAGCGGCCAAGCGAAAGCAUUAAGCAUCCCACCUGGGGAGUACGCCGGCA